UCUCUUUUCUUCUUUUUCUAAAAUGAAUCUGGGAGUUUCCUUUAGCCCCUGUUUUGUGGUCGCCUCCCAUACACGUUUUAUCUGUCCGUGGCAUUUUCUUUUAUUUAUUGAAAGCACCGUGUCUUAGAUCAAGUCUUGAGAAACAGAACCUGAGACAAACAUGAAUGUGGUUAAUUGAACGAGCGCUGUGCAGGAAAAGCUGUACUGGAGAGAGGCCUGGCCUGGUGUUCAGAACACAAAUGUGAAAAAUCAGACCGGGAAGAUCACGGGAGGCAGGAAGCAUCUGGUUUGCAGGAGUCUCACUCUGUCACCCAGGCUGGAGUGCAGUGGCGUGAUCUCAGCUGACUGCAAUCUCCACCCAAGUUCAAGAGAUUCUUCUGCCUCAGCCUCCCACGUAGCUGGGACUACAGAGCAUACCAUAGCAGCUUGUGCCUGAGACCUCGACAAAUAUCUGGGGGAUAGAUUGGCUUGCAGAGCACAUUCUGCCUAUAGAAAUGAGUUAGCAAGUUUAGUCAGCCAUUGUAGAUUUCAAAGGGUGAGAAGCCUAGCCAGAGGUUAUAAUAUAGCA
ensembl:lncRNA novel transcript